rnacentral:rRNA from 1 species
CUACGGGUGGCAGCAGUGGGGAAUAUUGGGCAAUGGGCGAAAGCCUGACCCAGCAACGCCGCGUGAAGGAAGAAGGCUUUCGGGUCGUAAACUUCUAUCCCAGAUGAAGAUAAUGACGGUAAUCUGGAAGGAAGCCCCGGCUAACUACGUGCCAGCAGCCGCGGUAAUACGUAGGGGGCAAGCGUUGUCCGGAAUGAUUGGGCGUAAAGGGCGCGUAGGCGGCCUUUUAAGUCCGAUGUGAAAGUCCUGCUUUUAAGGUGGGAAUUGCAUUGGAAACUGGAAGGCUUGAGUUCAGGAGAGGUAAGUGGAAUUCCCGGUGUAGCGGUGAAAUGCGUAGAGAUCGGGAGGAACACCAGUGGCGAAGGCGACUUACUGGACUGUAACUGACGCUGAGGCGCGAAAGUGUGGGGAGCAAACAGGAUUAGAUACCCUGGUAGUC